CAUUCCCACCCUCAAUGCCUCAUUAUUCUAGGGUUUUUUUCAUUCGUUUCUCUGCUCUCCUGGAUUGAUCCGCCAUGGCCACCCAGAUCAGCAAAAGCGAAAGGUUGUUGUUAGUGGGAAUUAAACUUGGGGAUCAGCCUGCUAAUAGUCCAUGAAGCAUGAAGUUUAAAAGAUGGUUACAUCGAUUUCAUUUGGGUGUUGUUGGUAUUAUGGUGGGGAUGAUGGGAUCCUAAGGGUAAGCAAGUACGUACUACAUUGUUACCAGAUUUCAUCACCAUCCACCUGCCAAAGGGAGAAGAAAUUAUUAUUACCCCGUGUCACCAUUAUUGGCAACUGACAGAGGUUAGCAGCAGCACAGGUCGUAGGUUUCUUUUAAGGUUUCAUCUGCUAGUGAGGACAAAGGAAACAUUGAUGCAGGAUGGUAGUAGUUUCCUCUAGAAAAUGAAGAUUUUUGUUGUUAAUUCAUUAGAAAUGUCCCUCAAGUCAAGUGGCAUUGCUUGAAAUGAAUAGAUGGGAAGAGUUUGUUAGCUUUGUAGACGGUCUUGUCUUUUGUUCAAAAAUUUAAGUUCUUUGAGUAAGGUUUUGUUGGACAGUGAGAAGGAUUCUCACCUCGCUAUCGCAGUUGUUGUUCCCUAAUAUGUUAACUUGAAGAAUUUUCCUUUUCAUGUUAUGUUCUUCUUAUCCUGCUUUGGUCUACAAUUAAGUUUCUUCUAUUUGCCCCUCACUUGAGCCAAUUGCAAGUCUCAGCAAGGGAGAUUCCAACCCUAUUCUUCAUGCAGAUAGUGAUUCUGUGGUACAUUUCUUGUUCAUUUUCGAAGCCAUCACUGCCUGCAUUAUAGUUUCAGCCAAAGUCCCGAAACAAUUGUUAUUCCUUGAUUGUUCCAGGCUCGAGCUUUCUUUUCAGGCAUCUGGAAUGUAAACCAGUCUUGAUUGCUGAGCGUUGAAUCCAAAGGCUAUGAAACCGAAAAAGGUUAAAGCCUUUCUCAUUCGCUGCAGAAAACAGGCGAAAUCCGCAUGGGCCUUUGUGCUGACAUUUUAUAUUUAUCGGGAUGAAAACAUAUGAAAUCCGAUGGGCUUAGCCUGUGGGCUUCCCCUGGCGACGUCCCAAAUCCUACAACUAACUUUUGUAGACCAAAACAAUCUAUAUUCAAACCAUAAAAACGUUUAUUUUUUUGUUAUUUUUUUAAAAAAGCGAACCGGACACAAAGUUUUGUGCAAACUGUACGCAAAAAGGCAAAGACCUUACCGAAAAAGUAUCCGGACUCUACGCCAUUUAUAAAAUGCAAUUGUCAGAAAUUUCGAAUCCGGAUUUGUA